GGAGAGAUAGCUCAGAAGUUAAGAGCGCUGGCUGCUCUUCCAGAGGCCUGAGUUCAAUUCCCAGCAUCUACA
rnacentral:tRNA from 1 species